AUGCGUAGGUGGCAAGCGUUGUCCGGAUUUACUGGGUGUAAAGGGUGCGUAGGCGGGGCAGCAAGUUGGAUGUGAAAUCCUCGGGCUCAACUCGAGAACUGCAUUCAAAACUGUUGCUCUUGAGUGCAGUAGAGGCAAGCGGAAUUCCCGGUGUAGCGGUGAAAUGCGCAGAGAUCGGGAGGAACACCAGUGGCGAAGGCGGCUUGCUGGGCUGUUACUGACGCUGAGGCACGAAAGCAUGGGUAGCAAACAGGAUUAGAUACCCUGGUAGUCCAUGCUGUAAACGAUGAUUACUAGGUGUGGGUGGACUGACCCCAUCCGUGCCGGAGUUAACACAUUAAGUAAUCCACCUGGGGAGUACGGCCGCAAGGUUGAAACUCAAAUGAAUUGACGGGG
rnacentral:rRNA from 1 species